rnacentral:rRNA from 1 species
GAGUCUAGCAUGUGCGCGAGUCAUUGGGACUCUUAUUAAACCUAAAGGCGCAAUGAAAGUAAAGGUCGGCCUCGCGCAGACCGAGGGAGGAUGGGCCCGUUCGCGGACGGGCCCCGCACUCCCGGGGCGUCUCGUUCUCAUCGCGAGAGGAGGCGCACCCAGAGCGUAUACGCUGGGACCCGAAAGAUGGUGAACUAUGCCUGGUCAGGACGAAGUCAGGGGAAACCCUGAUGGAGGUCCGUAGCGAUUCUGACGUGCAAAUCGAUCGUCGGAACUGGGUAUAGGGGCGAAAGACUAAUCGAACCUUCUAGUAGCUGGUUCCCUCCGAAGUUUCCCUCAGGAUAGCUGGCGCUCGCCUUUGCGAGUCUCAUUCGGUAAAGCGAAUGAUUAGAGGCAUUGGGGUCGAAACGGCCUCAACCUAUUCUCAAACUUUAAAUGGGUGAGAUCUCCGGCUUGCUUAAAGCAUGAAGCCGCGAGAUUAACGGAUCAGAGAGUGCCAAGUGGGCCACUUUUGGUAAGCAGAACUGGCGCUGUGGGAUGAACCAAACGCAGAGUUAAAGGGCCAAAAUCGACGCUUAUGGGAUACCAUGAAAGGCGUUGGUAACUUAAGACAGCAGGACGGUGGCCAUGGAAGUCGGA